ACACGCUUGUUCAUAUAAACAGUGGCCUUUUAACUUCUAUGGAACAAGUUCCCAAGAAUGAACUAUUGGAUCAAAGGGCAUUUGUUUUUAAUGUUAAUAGGUCUUGCCAGAUUGCUUCCCCAAAGAAGCUGUAACAACCAGCUACAUUAGGAAUGGAUGAGAGCCCUUCCCUGUUCCCACUCCCCACCUCCUGCCAAGGAGUACUUUCUUUUUCUUUCUUUGCCAAUGUGAUAGUUACGUGGAAGAAGAUAUACAACAAAGGUACCGCACAUAGUAAAGACAGGCUCGGUCAGCUAUUAACCUGAGCUGCUAGCAGAGAAGUCUCUACCUCCAUACUCCAGAAGUAAGUACGACAGCAGGAGAGAGAAGAUGAUGACAGUGCUCCCCUGCAGAUCA